rnacentral:rRNA from 1 species
UACGAAGGGGACUAGCGUUGUUCGGAAUCACUGGGCGUAAAGCGCACGUAGGCGGAUUUGUAAGUCAGGGGUGAAAGUCCCGGGGCUCAACCUCGGAACUGCCUUUGAUACUGCGAAUCUUGAGUCCGAUAGAGGUGGUGGAAUUCCUAGUGUAGAGGUGAAAUUCGUAGAUAUUAGGAAGAACACCGGUGGCGAAGGCGGCCCACUGGAUCGGUACUGACGCUGAGGUGCGAAAGCGUGGGGAGCAAACAGG